rnacentral:rRNA from 1 species
GGAAGCAGAUGAAGUUGACGAACGUGUGUCGUAUUCAAAAUCGCUGUCAGCGGUUUGUUUUUACGGCCGAUGUGGGCCGGCGGCUUUGGUCAAUGCAACGCGUCUAGCGUCGAUGGUGACCCUGCGGAGGGACAAUCAGUCGUCGUACGGUGCUUGGUAUGGCUAAGGUUUCGCCGGUCUUAAAGUCAGCGCCUCAUCUGACCCGUCUUGAAACACGGACCAAGGAGUGUAGCGUUUGCGCAAGUCUUAGAGUGUAUCGAAACUUUGAGGCGUAACGAAAGUAAAUGCAGUUUAAUCUGCUGACUUGGGAUGCGUUGUCUCUUGUGGACGGCGCUGGACCAAGGUUUUAUCGCGAUCGCUUGCGGUGCGGUGAAAAUAGAGCGUAAACGGUGCGACCCGAAAGAUGGUGAACUAUGCCUGAGCAGGAUGAAGCCGGAGGAAACUCUGGUGGAAGUCCGAAGCGGUUCUGACGUGCAAAUCGAUCGUCUGACUUGGGUAUAGGGGCGAAAGACUAAUCGAACCAUC